GAUAUAGCUUUUUACUUUAGUGACUUCUGGUAGGAGUCCGCAAGUGUAAGCACAGCCGGAAAGAGGGCUCCGGCUUUCGCCACCGGUGCUUGUUACUCGCUGUGUUGCUGCUGGGAAAGGGGUUUUAGUCUGGAAGUGUUGCAGCCAGUGCGCUUAGCCGCUGAGCUAUCUUUCCAGCCCAGUAUAUAAAUUAGUAAUCACAGAUUGGAAAGUUUAGCUUUGGUGGAGGGAUGUUGCGAUAGAUUCACACGGAACAUGGUUUAGCGUUGCUGACCACCGGCAGAGGAGAUAGCAGAUCCAACAGGAGCACCAGGAGCAGAGAAAUCCUUCUCCGACCAGACAGUUGAGACCAACACGGAUUUUCUAUGUAUGAAAUAUACAGUUGGACGGCAUGAUCAUUUAGCACAAGUUAUGUGAGGGGAGACAUCAUAUCCUUCAGUGGUGUAUAUUGCUGGAGACUUUGGGGUUGUGAGGAGGAACAACAAUGGAGUAAAACCCACUUAUCUAUGCCUCUGUAAACCGUGAGUAGUUUUAAGCCUCUGAGGUGAAAGAAGUCGUUUUUUGAUCAACUAGGCUAAGAAUUAAGAAUAUAGUGACUGGCAUGGGGCUUGGAAACUGAGGAAAUAUGAUGAAUGUUCUGAUUUCAAAGAAUCUUUGUAUUUUUUGUGAACUGCUUUGUUCGUGUAAUGAUUAACCUGUAGCGAGAAAAGACAAUCAAUUUCCUUGUGCAAAAUUUAUAUACACACACAAAACCAACCUUCUGACAACCCUUGUGAAAUUCACUGGCUCAGAAUAAAUGAUGCCUGUCUCAGUUAGGGUUUCUAUUGCUGUGAGAAAACUCCACGGACAGCGGUGGAUGGCCCUUUAACCUCAGCAUUCAGGGGGCAGAAGCCAGCAGAUCUCUGAGUUUGAGGCCAGCCUGCCUGGUUUACAA